rnacentral:rRNA from 1 species
UACGUAGGGUGCAAGCGUUGUCCGGAAUUAUUGGGCGUAAAGAGCUCGUAGGCGGUCUGUCGCGUCGGCUGUGAAAACCCGAAGCUCAACUUCGGGCCUGCAUCCGAAACUGCCCGACUAGAGGUAGGUAGGGGAGAUCGGAAUUCCUGGUGUAGCGGUGAAAUGCGCAGAUAUCAGGAGGAACACCGGUGGCGAAGGCGGAUCUCUGGGCCUUACCUGACGCUCAGGUGCGAAAGCUAGGGGAGCGAACAGG